AAUUUAUCAGAAAAUUUAAAAUGCACACAUUGGUGUACUCAGAGAACAUAGUAAUCAUCUAAUAGAAUCUCGGAUACUCUUGUCAAAUUUAUAAUGUUUGUCUCCACCAAAUACCCUAUUCUUUUGUUUACUUAUCAAUUUUGGAUGCGUAUUAGUUCAUAUGAAAAUGCCAUAAAUGGUUCAGUCAUGUUAAAUUUAUGACCAAACAUGUGACAUGGAUGUCUCAAAAUAGCUCACUUGUUUUUGGGCGGAUUAAGCAGAAACAACUCAUGAAGUCAGGUUGAUUCUUAAAAUAGCAUAAAAGAGGGGAGUAAUCUAAAAAUUGUCAUUAGGAACAAUCAUAACCAACAGUAAGAUAAUAAAUUUUCAUUUCCUAUUCUAUUUUCCUUUCCCUGCCUUUCCACCAAUUAAAAACUAUCUCAGUAUCUCCUAGCUUUAUGUUAAUGUUGCA
rnacentral:misc_RNA from 1 species